rnacentral:rRNA from 1 species
GAGUUUGAUCCUGGCUCAGGAUGAACGCUAGCUACAGGCUUAACACAUGCAAGUCGAGGGGCAGCAUGGUCUUAGCUUGCUAAGGCCGAUGGCGACCGGCGCACGGGUGAGUAACACGUAUCCAACCUGCCGUCUACUCUUGGACAGCCUUCUGAAAGGAAGAUUAAUACAAGAUGGCAUCAUGAGUCCACAUGUUCACAUGAUUAAAGGUAUUCCGGUAGACGAUGGGGAUGCGUUCCAUUAGAUAGUAGGCGGGGUAACGGCCCACCUAGUCUUCGAUGGAUAGGGGUUCUGAGAGGAAGGUCCCCCACAUUGGAACUGAGACACGGUCCAAACUCCUACGGGAGGCAGCAGUGAGGAAUAUUGGUCAAUGGGCGAGAGCCUGAACCAGCCAAGUAGCGUGAAGGAUGACUGCCCUAUGGGUUGUAAACUUCUUUUAUAAAGGAAUAAAGUCGGGUAUGCAUACCCGUUUGCAUGUACUUUAUGAAUAAGGAUCGGCUAACUCCGUGCCAGCAGCCGCGGUAAUACGGAGGAUCCGAGCGUUAUCCGGAUUUAUUGGGUUUAAAGGGAGCGUAGAUGGAUGUUUAAGUCAGUUGUGAAAGUUUGCGGCUCAACCGUAAAAUUGCAGUUGAUACUGGAUAUCUUGAGUGCAGUUGAGGCAGGCGGAUUUCGUGGGUGUAGCGGUGAAAUGCUUAGAUAUCACGAAGAACUCCGAUUGCGAAGGCAGCGUGCUAAGCUGCAACUGACAUUGAGGCUCGAAAGUGUGGGUAUCAAACAGGAUUAGAUACCCUGGUAGUCCACACGGUAAACGAUGAAUACUCGCUGUUUGCGAUAUACUGCAAGCGGCCAAGCGAAAGCGUUAAGUAUUCCACCUGGGGAGUACGCCGGCAACGGUGAAACUCAAAGGAAUUGACGGGGGCCCGCACAAGCGGAGGAACAUGUGGUUUAAUUCGAUGAUACGCGAGGAACCUUACCCGGGCUUAAAUUGCAGAUGAAUUACGGUGAAAGCCGUAAGCCGCAAGGCAUCUGUGAAGGUGCUGCAUGGUUGUCGUCAGCUCGUGCCGUGAGGUGUCGGCUUAAGUGCCAUAACGAGCGCAACCCUUGUUGUCAGUUACUAACAGGUUCCGCUGAGGACUCUGACAAGACUGCCAUCGUAAGAUGUGAGGAAGGUGGGGAUGACGUCAAAUCAGCACGGCCCUUACGUCCGGGGCUACACACGUGUUACAAUGGGGGGUACAGAGGGCCGCUACCACGCGAGUGGAUGCCAAUCCCAAAAACCUCUCUCAGUUCGGACUGGAGUCUGCAACCCGACUCCACGAAGCUGGAUUCGCUAGUAAUCGCGCAUCAGCCACGGCGCGGUGAAUACGUUCCCGGGCCUUGUACACACCGCCCGUCAAGCCAUGGGAGCCGGGGGUACCUGAAGUGCGUAACCGCGAGGAGCGCCCUAGGGUAAAACUGGUGACUGGGGCUAAGUCGUAACAAGGUAAC